GCGACCGUAGUCUAGUGGUAGGAUCUUGGCCUUCCAAGCCAAUAGCCCGGGUUCAAAUCCCGGCGGUCGCA
rfam:Candidatus Bathyarchaeota archaeon RBG_13_60_20 RBG_13_scaffold_60713, whole genome shotgun sequence.